GUGGGGAAUAUUGGACAAUGGGGGGAACCCUGAUCCAGCCAUGCCGCGUGUGUGAAGAAGGCCUUUUGGUUGUAAAGCACUUUAAGCGAGGAGGAGGCUACCGAGAUUAAUACUCUUGGAUAGUGGACGUUACUCGCAGAAUAAGCACCGGCUAACUCUGUGCAAGCAGCCGCGGUAAUACAGAGGGUGCAAGCGUUAAUCGGAUUUACUGGGCGUAAAGCGCGCGUAGGUGGCCAAUUAAGUCAAAUGUGAAAUCCCCGGGCUUAACUUGGGAAUUGCAUUCGAUACUGGUUGGCUAGAGUAUGGGAGAGGAUGGUAGAAUUCCAGGUGUAGCGGUGAAAUGCGUAGAGAUCUGGAGGAAUACCGAUGGCGAAGGCAGCCAUCUGGCCUAAUACUGACACUGAGGUGCGAAAGCAUGGGGAGCAAACAGGAUUAGAAACCCUAGUAGUCC
rnacentral:rRNA from 1 species